rnacentral:rRNA from 1 species
CGGUUACAAUAAGAAGGGGUCCAGGCCUGCCCCAGUGGACAAAUGUUCAACGGCCGCGGUAUCCUAACCGUGCGAAGGUAGCGUAAUCACUUGUUCUUUAAAUGAGGACUAGUAUGAAUGGCACCACGAGGGUUGCACUGUCUCCUUUCCCUAAUCAAUGAAACUAAUCUCCCCGUGAAGAAGCGGGGGUACUAAUAUAAGACGAGAAGACCCUAUGGAGCUUUAAAUUUCUCUUCAAACGCCAGACACAAACAUCUGACACUUUACAUUAACCCGACGCCUUGAAGAUGAAUUUUAGGUUGGGGUGACCAUGGAGAACAAAAUAACCUCCACGCUGAAAAGGCCUCCAAGCCUUGAGCCGAGGGCUACAACCCAACGCACUAAAAAAUUAACACCCAUUGACCCAAUAUUUUUGAUCAACGAACCAAGUUACCCUAGGGAUAACAGCGCAAUCUACUUCAAGAGUCCCUAUCGACAAGUGGGUUUACGACCUCGAUGUUGGAUCAGGGUAUCCCAGUGGUGCAGCCGCUACUAAAGGUUCGUUUGUUCAACGAUUAAAACCCUACGUGAUCUGAGUUCAGACCGGA